UGGAGCAUCUUUCUUCCUCAGUCAGUCGAACAUCUCCGACAGAACUGAGGUUAGCAUGUGAGGAUUCAUGAAGAUUGAAACCGGUCGUUUACAGGCUGUGUACCUUGGGGAAAAGUUUUCGGCUGUCAAAAAGCGCUUGGUUUUAUUGACCAGGAUGAAACAAUCAAAACGUGCACUGGAAUUGACUGACUUGAGCUUUUUGUCUGCUGAGGAAAGGGAAGCCAUCCGUUAAGUGCUCCUGAAAGAUGAAGAUUUAAAACGACUGGAGAGGGGAAGACUCAGAGGCAUCAUCUGCUCCAAGAGUGGAUGGAAGAAAAGAAAAACUAUGAGCAAAACUCAAUUGCCCUGACCCACAAUGCAGUUCAUCAGAAGUACAACCCAAAGAGCUCUCUGAUGACCGAAAAAGAUCUGUUUUUCCAUUCUUAAGUGCAGUUCAAGAAAGAGGCUCCACAGAACAUGCAACAAAUCCAGAGCCAAGGCGAAAAAUUUACUUCCUCCAGUACUACGGAAAGAGCAACUGUUUGAAGAGAAAUGGGUGGGUCAAAGAACAGCAAAAGGAUUACGUUGCCUGAUAGGUUUGCGCCUCAGUUUAGGAAUAGGACAAAGCUAUGACAAGAAAGUUGAUUGGAUGGAUUCGAUGGAUGAGGAAAUUCAAAUAUGGAAAAGAAUGUUGGCUAAUCCAAACAGCUGGGUUGAGGGAGAGCUUCCUCUGAGGUCCUCCAUGACCCCGAGGAAAUGAACCUCCUGAGGCUGUGGUCUCAGAUGUUUAGUUGCAAAAGAAAAACAGUUGUUGGUUCCCAAAACAAACCAAGCACAUUCUAUUACCAAUUCAUUUUCUCCUUUCAGGCAUUCUCUUAACAAAAAAGGAUAUUUUCUGCAAUGAUAAAAAGAGUAUAUUAAAUAAUAU